rnacentral:rRNA from 1 species
AUGGCCGUCUCUGCGAUUGGGUUUGAGGGAUAUGAGAAGCGCCUGGAGAUCACCUUCUCUGAAGCGCCAGUCUUCACUGACCCCAAUGGCAGGGGAUUGCGUGCUCUCUCUCGUGCCCAGAUCGACUCGGUUCUUGAUCUUGCCAAGUGCACCAUUGUAUCUGAGCUCUCUAAUGACAAGAUUGACUCGUAUGUCCUCUCUGAAUCAAGCCUCUUCAUCUACCCGUACAAGGUUGUGAUCAAGACCUGCGGUUACACCAAGCUCCUGCUGGCCAUUCCAAGGAUUCUUGAGCUUGCUGAGGAGUUGUCCCUGCCACUUGCUGCUGUGAAGUACUCCCGUGGGACAUUCAUAUUCCCUGAGGCACAGCCUUCUCCACACAAGAACUUCUCUGAUGAGGUUGCCUUCCUGAAUGGCUACUUUGGUGGACUCAAGUCUGGCGGCAAUGCCUAUGUCAUUGGUGAUCCUGCAAAGCCAGGCCAGAAGUGGCAUGUCUACUAUGCCACCCAGCAGCCUGAGCAGCCCAUGGUCAACCUUGAGAUGUGCAUGACUGGUCUGGACAAGAAGAAAGCUUCUGUCUUCUUCAAGACCUCUGCUGAUGGCUACACAUCUUGUGCCAAGGAGAUGACCAAGCUCUCUGGCAUCUCUGAAAUAAUCCCGGAGAUGGAGAUCUGUGACUUUGAUUUCGAGCCAUGUGGCUACUCCAUGAACGCCAUCCAUGGCUCUGCUUUCUCCACCAUUCAUGUCACUCCUGAGGACGGCUUCAGCUAUGCUAGCUAUGAGGUCAUGGGGUUGGACCCUGCCUCCAUGGCCUAUGGUGACCUGGUCAAGAGGGUGCUGAGAUCCUUUGGCCCGUCUGAAUUCUCUGUUGCUGUGACCAUCUUUGGCGGUCGCAACCUUGCUGGCACCUGGGGGGAGAGGCUGAAUGUUGGGGUCUAUGAUAGUACCAACAUGGUCGUCCAGGAGCUGCCUGACGGGGGCGCUCUCAUCUACCAGAGCUUCACUGCUGUCGGCGAAGACUCCACCGGGUCACCAAGAUCUGUCCUGAACUGCAACGUUCAUGGCAAUUUAGAGAGCGGCUCCAAGAUGGAUGCUUUCCUUUGCUGGGAAGACGAUGCUGCGCAGGAGAAGGAUGAGAGGGGGGCUGUUAAGAGGAUGAAGAGCUGCUGA